UAGGGAAUAUUGCACAAUGGGGGAAACCCUGAUGCAGCGACGCCGCGUGAGUGAUGAAGGCCUUCGGGUCGUAAAGCUCUGUCGUAUGGGACUAACAAAAUGAAGGUACCAUGCAAGAAAGGAUCGGCUAACUUCGUGCCAGCAGCCGCGGUAAGACGAGGGAUCCUAGCGUUGUUCGGAAUUAUUGGGCGUAAAGCGGGUGUAGGCGGACUUAUAAGUCAGGUGUGAAAUCCCAGGGCUCAACCCUGGAAGUGCACUUGAUACUGCAAGUCUUGAGUGUGGUAGAGGCUAUUAGAAUUCCUGGUGUAGUGGUGAAAUACGUAGAUAUCAGGAGGAAUACCGGAGGCGAAGGCGGAUAGCUGGGCCAACACUGACGCUGAGACCCGAAAGCGUGGGUAGCGAACAGGAUUAGAUACCCAAGUAGUCCCUGAGCGGGCUGGCAAGGCGCAU
rnacentral:rRNA from 1 species